rnacentral:lncRNA from 1 species
UACAUUUUAGUGAAGAGGGAAGAAAACACAACCAAGGGGUCUUCUAAUGAUAUUUUGUCUUGACUCCGAAAGGGACCCUUAAGGUUGAAGAUUCUGAUAUUCUGACAUAGUAGCAGGUGCAUAUUUAUAAAAAACUUCCCACAUUUGGAUUGUCCGUCUUUUUUGAUUUUAGCCAUCCUAAUGGGAAAAGCCAUCUCCCAUGUAACCACAUGCUUCAGGAGAAGCUGACC